UGCCUUGUGGCUCAGUUGGUAGAGCAUGGUGUUUGCAACGCCAGGGUUGUGGGUUCGAUUCCCACAGGGUAC
rnacentral:tRNA from 1 species